rnacentral:rRNA from 1 species
CCUACGGGUGGCAGCAGUGGGGAAUAUUGCACAAUGGGGGAAACCCUGAUGCAGCGACGCCGCGUGAGGGAAGAAGUAUCUCGGUACGUAAAGCUCUAUCAGCAGGGAAAAAAAAGACGGUACCUGACUAAGAAGCCCCGGCUAACUAAGUUCCAGCAGCCGCGGUAAUACGUAGGGGGCAAUCGUUAUACGGAUUUACUGGGUGUAAAGGGAGCGUAGACGGUGCGCCAGGGCUGGAGUGAAAUUCCGCAGGUUAACUGCGGAACUGCUUUGGAAACUGGCGAACUAGAGUGCGGGAGGGGUAAGCGGAAUUCGUAGUGUAGCGGUGAAAUGCGUAGAUAUUAGGAGGAACACCGGUGGCGAAGGCGGCUUACUGGACCGUAACUGACGUUGAGGCUCGAAAGCGUGGGGAGCAAACAGGAUUAGAUACCCUAGUAGUC